rnacentral:lncRNA from 1 species
AGAGAAAGCAUCUGCCUCAGUCCCCUCCUCAGAGUGAGACUUCUGCCUGUACAGCUUAGCAAUUUAAGAUUCUUCAGUUCCCAGAACUUGCUUAAGUAGAAGAGUUUACUGUCUGUCAUCAGCUCCUACACAGUAUCUUGCCAUCGACAUGCAGUCUUGUGUGGGAAUUUUACUCUUUUCGGUGCUGCUAACUACAGGUGCCACGUUGGAGUGUGAAACAUGUACAGGUCCGGGUGAGAACUGUGUUGGUCCAUUACAGACAUGCCAAAGCGAUCAGGAUGUCUGUGUCGUUGCCCUGACAAAAGUUACCACUUCAGGAGGAGUGGUUUAUGCCACUGUAAAGCAGUGUCAAAAGGAAGAAGUCUGUGACAGCAAAACGACCAUUCAGCUUCGUCAGGCUUUUACUGAAACAUUUAUCAGAUGCCCUGACAAGCCUCCAUAUAAUACAAAGUUUGAAUUUAGCAAGGCUCUUUCAGCAGUUCCAUCCUUCUUCCUGUCUUUGUCUGGGCUUCUGUUAAUAAAACUCCUUCUUUAAGAAUUUCCUGCAACAACCUGGCACUGGAGUAGGGGUGGGGGUUUGUUUCUGUGUAAUCCUUUUUUUUAAUUUUUUUUCUUUUGUCAAGGAAAAUGUGGCCUUCCUGAGAAAAGUAUUAUCCCUUUUGCUUUACUCAGUUUUUUAUUUUUUAAGUAAUGAAUAAAU